UGGCCUUUUGAAAAGUUCAUCCAAGAUUUUGUAAUAUAAUUGGACUGAAGUAUUCUUCAUUGCUUCAUUUGUAUUUCCAUGGAAGUUCUCUUGCUUAGGCACAUCUCUAACUCCAUUAGAAUAAUGGCCAAACUGCACAUGAAAUAAUACCACAAAUAAAUACCCAUAAAUUAUAGAGAAAAUUACUGAUGAAAGUGAAAAGCUUAUACCAUGAAAAGCAGCAGAUGAAAGAAAAGGAUGGAAUAGGGAAAUCGAAAACCCAUAUCUCGUAAUCCUCUCGUUGAGCUUCUCCAGAGUUGGUUAUGAUUUGUUAAAAUGCGAAUCCUACAGCUUUCUCAUAUAGGCAUGGAAUGCCUUUCUCAAUAAUUGCUGAUGCUACUUGUAAACUUAG
rnacentral:lncRNA from 1 species